GGAGUUUGGGCCGUGUCGCAGUCCCAAUGUGGCUGAUCACCCUCUCAGACCAGCUACGGAUCAUCGCCUUGGUGGGCCUUUACCUCACCAACUAGCUAAUCCGAUAUAGGCUCAUCCAAUAACAGGUUAAUGUUGCCAUUAACCCUUUCCCAAAUAAAUGGUAGUAUGUGGUAUUAGACACCGUUUCCAGUGCUUAUUCCUCAUUACUGGGUAGAUUCCUAUAUAUUACUCACCCGUACGCCACUUUACUCGUCCAUUGCUGAACUUUCUCGUUCGACUUGCAUGUAUUAAGCAUACCGCCAGCGUUCAUU
rnacentral:rRNA from 1 species